rnacentral:rRNA from 1 species
GAUGAACGCUGGCGGCGUGCCUAAUACAUGCAAGUCGAACGAGGUACUUUUGUAGUAAUACGAAAGUGUCCUAGUGGCGAACGGGUGAGUAACGCGUUGGUGACCUACCCCAAAGUGUGGGAUAACAGUUCGAAAGGAUUGCUAAUACCGCAUGUGGUCUUCGGAUUUAGAAACUGAUGACUAAAGGAGUAAUCCGCUUUGGGAGGGACCUGCGUCCCAUCAGCUAGUUGGUGAGGUAAUGGCUCACCAAGGCUACGACGGGUAGGGGACCUGAGAGGGUGACCCCCCACAAUGGAACUGAAACACGGUCCAUACACCUACGGGUGCGAGCAGUAGGGAAUAUUGCACAAUGGGCGAAAGCCUGAUGCAGCAACGCCGCGUGUGCGAUGAAGGCCUUCGGGUCGUAAAG